rnacentral:rRNA from 1 species
UACGUAGGGGGCGAGCGUUGUCCGGAGUACUGGGCGUAAAGCGUGCGCAGGCGGUUAUGUAAGACAGUUGUGAAAUCCCCGGGCUCAACCUGGGAACUGCAUCUGUGACUGCAUAGCUAGAGUACGGUAGAGGGGGAUGGAAUUCCGCGUGUAGCAGUGAAAUGCGUAGAUAUGCGGAGGAACACCGAUGGCGAAGGCAAUCCCCUGGACCUGUACUGACGCUCAUGCACGAAAGCGUGGGGAGCAAACAGG